CUUGCUUCUUGACAAUUUUGAACUUUUACAAUGAAUUAUUGCAGUACUCGUAGAGAAGUUAAUGUUAACAAAACUUUUUUUAAUUUCUGUGGUUAAACGUUAAAACUGAAACUUCUUCAUCAAGGUCCAAGGGUUUGUUUAAAAAAGCCGUCGGCAUAUAUUCGCGAAGCGAUCGUCUCUCAAAUUCGCGAGAAUCCAUACUAAGUGUAUGUCAUUAGGACUGUUCGUUCCUAUUCCUAACCAUUAUUCUCGCUUGAUCUCCUUCGACAUGGCCAGUAAUCCAGAAAAUAAACCCGAGAAGCUUGACAUUGGUGGAAGAAGUACGUUUCCAUCCAUGCUGUUGAUCAACAAACGUCCAUGCGAAACACAUCCCAGAGCACUUGCGGCGGAAAGUGUUGUGCUACAAAAGCGAGGGCAAAUUAUGAUGGAUCGGUUAAAAAAAUUUCUACCCGAAAUGAAGAACUCUGCUGAAGCGCUGGAAGAAAGCCUGAAAAGCACCGAUAAUGCCGAUCGCUUUAACAUUGAGAGUGUGAAGGAAGGAGUCCGUCGUUGAAUUCAACCUGGGGCUGUUCGAGUAUUCUUCCAGUGAAUCAGAAGAAGAGCUGGAUGUGUUGGAUAGCUCAGACUCCGAUUCAAGUGACGAAGAAGCUGCCGGAAAAGCGCCUGAUGAUUUAAUUAGUGUGCUAAGUAAGAAGAGUACCUCUGGACCGAGAUAGCUCUUCGGUUAGGUGCAUUUGGGAAUUCUGUCUUGUGAUAAAAUUUGUUUUUCCUGAAUCUUUACUUUUCCUGUUAAGUGUUAUCAGUUUACCAGUGUACCACGUCGACGCAUGCUCAGGCGUUUGCAGCAUUUUGUUAAGCUCCAAGGGACCAAGCGGAAACGAUGCGCUCGGCCGAUACCCGAACGUCGCAUGUGGUUGUUCUCAGCGCGUACGGUUAUUUCGUUUUGCCUAUUGUCUGGUAUGUUGAACUAUCAUGGCUGAACAGUCUGAACCUGGAAGUCUGGAACAUUAGUAUGCAUUAUGGAAAACAGCAUCUGGAUUCCAGAAGCUGUGCAUCGUUUCGGUAGUAAUGGGAUGGUUUCACCUUCUUAACUUGCCUGCUUAAAAUGCGCAUUUACGCCAUUUAAAGCUCAGCUAAACCUA